AGCGAACGUUAGCGGCGCGCCUAACACAUGCAAGUCGCACGAGAAACGGAGCAAUCCGCGGUACAGUGGCGCACGGGUGAGUAACACGUGGAUGACCUUCCCUGGAGUGGUGGAUAACCUGCCGAAAGGCGGGCUAAUACAGCAUGGGACCACGACGCUUUGGCGAUGUGGUGAAAGCGGGCCUCUAUAUAUAAGCUCGCGCUCCGGGACGGGUCCGCGUCCCAUCAGCUAGUUGGUGAGGUAACGGCUCACCAAGGCUUCGACGGGUAGCUGGUCUGAGAGGAUGGCCAGCCACACUGGAACUGAGACACGGUCCAGACUCCUACGGGAGGCAGCAGUGGGGAAUCUUGCGCAAUGGGCGAAAGCCUGACGCAGCGACGCCGCGUGGGCGAAGAAGGCCUCGG
rnacentral:rRNA from 1 species